GAUGAACGCUGGCGGCGUGCUUAACACAUGCAAGUCGAACGGAGUUGAUUUAAGGAAGCAAGCUUGCUUGAAGAAUUGAAUUAACUUAGUGGCGGACGGGCGAGUAACACGUGAGCAACCUACCUCUUACAGGGGAAUAACAACGGGAAACCGUUGCUAAUACCGCAUGAUAUGUGCUGAAGGCAUCUUUGGCACAUCAAAAGAGCAAUCUGGUGGGAGAUGGGCUCGCGUCUGAUUAGCUAGUUGGUAAGGUAACGGCCUACCAAGGCGACGAUCAGUAGCCGGACUGAGAGGUCGAACGGCCGCAUUGGGACUGAGACACGGCCCAGACUCCUACGGGAGGCAGCAGUGGGGAAUAUUGGGCAAUGGGCGAAAGCCUGACCCAGCAACGCCGCGUGAAUGAUGAAGGCCUUCGGGUUGUAAAAUUCUUUGGACAGGGACGAAGAAAGUGACG
rnacentral:rRNA from 1 species